GUUAAGCGACUAAGCGUACACGGUGGAUGCCCUGGCAGUCAGAGGCGAUGAAGGACGUGCUAAUCUGCGAUAAGCGUCGGUAAGGUGAUAUGAACCGUUAUAACCGGCGAUUUCCGAAUGGGGAAACCCAGUGUGUUUCGACACACUAUCAUUAACUGAAUCCAUAGGUUAAUGAGGCGAACCGGGGGAACUGAAACAUCUAAGUACCCCGAGGAAAAGAAAUCAACCGAGAUUCCCCCAGUAGCGGCGAGCGAACGGGGAGGAGCCCAGAGCCUGAAUCAGUGUGUGUGUUAGUGGAAGCGUCUGGAAAGGCGCGCGAUACAGGGUGACAGCCCCGUACACAAAAAUGCACAUACUGUGAG
rnacentral:rRNA from 1 species